CCCACCCACAGCAGCCAUUUUCGGCGAUUCUCCGGCGAAGCUCCGGGCGGCAAGGGUCAUUCUUAGGUGGACACACACACUUGCUUUGAUUUUCUACAAGAAAGAGAAGGAUUAAGGUACAAGUGUGGUUCUUGAAUCAAUUCAAGAGAAAGCUUGAAAUUCUUGAGUUGGUGGAACUAACAAGGUUCAAGGUUAGCGAAUUGGCGUGAAGUGUACUUUGCUUCCUUGGUGAGGAUUGCGUGUUUACUUUGGGGUAGGGAUUUCUUACUCUUUUUAUUUCAAAAUAUUUUCAAGCCACCGAAUUGCUUGAAUGGUAAGUUUUGGUUUCCG